AACGAACGCUGGCGGCAUGCCUAACACAUGCAAGUCGAACGAGACCUUCGGGUCUAGUGGCGCACGGGUGCGUAACACGUGGGAAUUUGCCUCGGGGUAUGGAAUAAACUCAGGGAAACUUGAGCUAAUACCAUAUAAUGUCUUCGGACCAAAGAUUUAUCGCCCUGAGAUAAGCCCGCGUAGGAUUAGCUAGUUGGUGGGUAAAGGCUCACCAAGGCGACGAUCCUUAGCUGGUCUGAGAGGAUGAUCAGCCACACUGGGACUGAGACACGGCCCAGACUCCUACGGGAGGCAGCAGUGGGGAAUAAUUGGACAAAUGGGCGCAAGCCUGAUCCAGCAAUGCCGCGU
rnacentral:rRNA from 1 species